AUAAAAAAAAUGGUUUUUAUCUGCUAUAGGAUAGGAUCGUGGACGAUUAUGGUUGUCGGUGAGGUAAUGGCUCACCAAGCCGAUAAUCGAUAGGGGCCGUGAGAGCGGGAGCCCCGAGAUGGGUACUGAGACAACGACCCAGGCCUUACGAGGCGCAGCAGGCGCGGAACCUCCACAAUACACGAAAGUGUGAUGGGGUUACCCAAAGUGUUCAAUUCUGAACCGUGGUAGGUGAGUAAUGUCCCCUACUAGAAAGGAGAGGGCAAGGCUGGCGCCAGCCGCCGCGGUAAAACCAGCUCUUCAAGUGGUCGGGAUAAUUAUUGGGCUUAAAGUGUCCGUAGCCGGUUUAGUAAGUUCCUGGUAAAAUCGGGUAGCUUAACUAUCUGUAUGCUAGGAAUACUACUAUACUAGAGGGCGGGAGAAGUCUGAGGUACUACAGGGGUAGGGGUGAAAUCUUAUAAUCCUUGUAGGACCACCAGUGGCGAAGGCGUCAGACUGGAACGCGCCUGACGGUGAGGGACGAAAGCCAGGGGAGCGAACCGGAUUAGAUACCCGGGUAGUCCUGGCCGUAAACGAUGCAUACUAGGUGAUGGUACGGCCAUGAGCCGUAUCAGUGCCGUAGGGAAACCGUUAAGUGUGCCGCCUGGGAAGUACGGUCGCAAGGCUAAAACUUAAAGGAAUUGGCGGGGGAGCACCACAAGGGGUGAAGCCUGCGGUUCAUUCCG
rnacentral:rRNA from 1 species